rnacentral:rRNA from 1 species
GAUGAACGCUGGCGGCGUGCCUAAUACAUGCAAGUCGAACGCUGAAGGAAGGAGCUUGCUCUUUCCGGAUGAGUUGCGAACGGGUGAGUAACGCGUAGGUAACCUGCCUGGUAGCGGGGGAUAACUAUUGGAAACGAUAGCUAAUACCGCAUAACAGUAGAUGUUGCAUGAUAUCUACUUAAAAGGUGCAAUUGCACCACUACCAGAUGGACCUGCGUUGUAUUAGCUAGUUGGUGAGGUAACGGCUCACCAAGGCGACGAUACAUAGCCGACCUGAGAGGGUGAUCGGCCACACUGGGACUGAGACACGGCCCAGACUCCUACGGGAGGCAGCAGUAGGGAAUCUUCGGCAAUGGACGGAAGUCUGACCGAGCAACGCCGCGUGAGUGAAGAAGGUUUUCGGAUCGUAAAGCUCUGUUGUAAGAGAAGAACGAGUGUGAGAGUGGAAAGUUCACACUGUGACGGUAUCUUACCAGAAAGAGACGGCUAACUACGUG